rnacentral:lncRNA from 1 species
UGCAAGCAAAUACAAUUAAUUUUAUUUUGAAUUUGUAAGCAAAUACAAAUAAUUUUAUCAAAAAUUACAUAUAAUUACGUCAUAAUAUAAUUAAGCCGGUGAUAACGCUUUUGAAACAGACACACAAUGAGCCCAUACUUCAUCUCUUUUCUGUAAAUAUUUGGAUUCGUUUCCAAUUAAACUAGGUCUUUCCGCGAUAUAUUUGACAAGGGUGUCAUGACACUCUUUUCCUUCUUUUACAAGCUCCUGGCAACAAGGAAUGGAUACAACUCCACUACCAAAAACUUGAGAAAUUAUAUUGAGCGCACACUUUGGACUGAUUUUAACAACACAUUGAUUCCAUAACUUUUUGGGCUCAUUUUCCUCUACAGCUAAUGAAGGAAUACAUGUACUCGCCACAACUAGAAUAACAAAAGACACCAUAAUAACGUUAAGCUUGGCCAUGGUUUUUUUGGCUAUAGGGAGAGUUAAUGUUUAAUUAUUCUCAGGUUAGAAAUAAGAAAAUUGCUUUUAAAUUUAUGAUCUGAUUUGAAUAAACGAUGAUAACCCUAUUUAUAGAUAUGAAUAAUCUAUAUUAAACAUAUUUUGGUGAAAAAUAACUUUGCUUUUGACAGUUUUUAGUUCAUUAAUUUUUUUAAGUUACAUUUUUCUUGAUGAAGUUAUUAACUGUUUAGGUUUAUCAUUUAUAUAAAAUAAUCAUUAUAAAAAAAAUUAAAUUAGAAUUCUUGUAAUAUAGAAAUAAACAUACAAAAAGAAGUUAUACAAGUAUUUAAAUUCCAAUUAAUAAUAUACUGAAUAGUGUUGUUGUCAUCAACAUAUAUUUUGGUGGUUGUAUAUCAACUUACUAUCAAAAACCAAAAGUACAGUCUAACAUGUGAUCAGUCUCAAAAAUGAUUCUAAUAUUAAUAUCUGAGUAUUUAUCAACGUAUAUCACUCCGAGGUUAAAAAGAGUUUCAGAUUUUAUAUUUUCUUUUUGUUCCGUGAUGUAGCACUCCCGUCAAUAAUUUUAUCUUUUUCAUUUUAUAAUUUCUUUAUUGAGAGAGAUUGUUAUGAGGUAAACAUGACUCCAUCGGGAUAAAAUUUUACAAAUUUCAAUUCUUUAUCCAAAAUAAUAUGUAAAAUCUAUAUAAUAAUAUGUUUUAUAAAAACAAAAUAAAAAAUGAAAAGAUGUUUCAAAGUUAAGCUUGCGAUAUUAGAUUUUAUGAGUUUAUGACUUACAUAAAAUUUUAAUUACUCGAUGUAUUUCGCAAGAAAAGUUAAUAUUAGACAUAUUAAUAACAUAAAUAAACAUACAUAAAUUAAUGAAUUAAAAUAUAUAUUUCUGAAUGAGAUACUUUAGUAAAAAAUGGACCUUUUUAAAAUGCUUUAUUGUACUGUUUUGAGUUUGUAUUUGGUUCGUUUUUCAAAUCAUACUUCAGAAUAUAAUUUGCUGAAUUAAAAAAACAUAUGUAAAUAUUUUUUAAACUCUAAAAAUUAAUCUGGAAAACGUUGUGCGGCCAAUAGCAAGAUAUAUUUUAAGUGUAAUAAGUCUGUUGCGAUCUUAUGGAGCCGUGAAAGACUAGAGUCUUGUGCUUACAAAUAAAAUCUGUUUUUUGAUAUUUUCCUAUUUAAACUAAUUAAAAUUGUGAGUUCAUAAAAAAAUUUAAAUAAUUUUUUAUUUAUUUUGAAAUAUACCUCUUUAUUUGCUAUUCGAAAAGAAUAAAAUAAUGCUAAAGAAAACAUGCAACACAAGACGGUAAAUAAUAAAUGUCACAUGUAUAUAUAAAUGAUUUUAUUUUGAACUUGCAAGCAAAUACAAUUAAUUUUAUUUUGAAUUUGUAAGCAAAUACAAAUAAUUUUAUCAAAAAUUACAUAUAAUUACGUCAUAAUAUAAUUAAGCCGGUGAUAACGCUUUUGAAACAGACACACAAUGAGCCCAUACUUCAUCUCUUUUCUGUAAAUAUUUGGAUUCGUUUCCAAUUAAACUAGGUCUUUCCGCGAUAUAUUUGACAAGGGUGUCAUGACACUCUUUUCCUUCUUUUACAAGCUCCUGGCAACAAGGAAUGGAUACAACUCCACUACCAAAAACUUGAGAAAUGAUAUUGAGCGCACACUUUGGACUGAUUUUAACAACACAUUGAUUCCAUAACUUUUUGGGCUCAUUUUCCUCUACAGCUAAUGAAGGAAUACAUGUACUCGCCACAACUAGAAUAACAAAAGACACCAUAAUAACGUUAAGCUUGGCCAUGGUUUUUUUGGCUAUAGGGAGAGCUAAUGUUUAAUUAUUCUCAGGUUAGAAAU